GACACGACUCUCGGCAAUGGAUAUCUCGGCUCUCGCAUCGAUGAAGAGCGCAGCGAAAUGCGAUACGUGGUGCGAAUUGCAGAAUCCCGUGAAC
rnacentral:rRNA from 2 species